rnacentral:rRNA from 1 species
GUUUGAUCCUGGCUCAGGAUGAACGCUGGCUGUGUGCCUAAUACAUGCAUGUCGAACGAAGUACUUGUACUUAGUGGCAAAUGGGUGAGUAACACGUACCUAACUUGCCUUUUAGAUUGGGACAACCACGGGAAACUGUGGCUAAUACCAAAUAUGUAUAAAAAACAUAUGUUUUUUAUAUGAAAGGAAGCGAUUGCUUUGCUAAAAGAUAGGGGUGCGCUACAUUAGCUUGUUGGUAGGGUAAAAGCCUACCAAGGCUAUGAUGUAUAGUGGGAUCGAGAGGUUGAACCACCACACUGGGAUUGAGAUACGGCCCAGACUCCUACGGGAGGCAGCAGUAGGGAAUAUUCCACAAUGAGCGAAAGCUUGAUGGAGCGACACAGCGUGUAGGAUGAAUGCCUUAGGGUUGUAAACUACUGUUAUAAGAGAAGAAUAGCUAAAAAAGGAAAUGUUUUUAGUCUGACGGUAUCUUAUCAGAAAGCAGUUGCAAACUAUGUGCCAGCAGCAGCGGUAAUACAUAGACUGCAAGCGUUAUCCGGAAUUAUUGGGCGUAAAGCAUUCGUAGGUUGUUUAUUAAGUUUGGUGUUAAAAACAAAAGCUCAACUUUUGUCUGCAUUAAAUACUAAUAGACUAGAGUUAUAAAGAGGUUAAUGGAACUCCAUAUGAAGCGGUGGAAUGCGUAGAUAUGUGGAAGAACACCAAUGGCGAAGGCAAUUAACUGGAUAUACACUGACACUGAGGGAUGAAAGCGUGGGGAGCAAACAGGAUUAGAUACCCUGGUAGUCCACGCUGUAAACGAUGUUUGUUAAUCGGUGGUGAAAUCACUGAUACAGCUAACGCAAUAAACAAACCGCCUGAGUAGUAUGCUCGCAAGAGUGAAACUUAAAGGAAUUGACGGGGAGCCGCACAAGCGGUGGAGCAUGUGGUUUAAUUCGACGCUACGCGAAGCACCUUACCAACAUUUGACAUCUUUUGCAAAGGCAUAGAGAUAUGCUGGAGGAUAACAAAAAGACAGGUGGUGCAUGGCCGUCGUCAGCUCGUGCCGUGAGGUGUUGGGUUAAGUCCUAUAACGAGCGCAACCCUUUUCUUUAGUUACUAACAUUUAGUUGAGCACUCUAAAGAUACUGCCUAGGUAACUAGGAGGAAGGAGGGGAUGAGGUAGGUCAUCAUGCCUCUUACAUGUUGGGUUACACACGUGCUACAAUGGCAAAUACAAAGAGAAGCAAAAUCGUGAGGUGGAGCAAAUCUGUAAAAUUUGUCUCAGUUCGGAUUGGAGUCUGCAACUCGACUCCAUGAAGUAGGAAUCGCUAGUAAUCCUAGAUCAUCAAUGCUAGGGUGAAUACGUUCUCGGCUCUUGUACACACCGCCCGUCAAACCAUGGGAGUUGGUAAUACCCAAAGCUAGUUAGUUAACCAUUUAUUUGGAGGCAACUAUCUAAGGUAGGAUCAAUGACUGGGGUUAAGUCGUAACAAGGUAACC